ensembl:lncRNA
ACAGGUACAGAGUCAAUGUGGAGGCUAUAUACAGGGGUACCGGUACAGAGUCAAUGUGGAGGCUAUAUACAGGGGUACUGGUACAGAGUCAAUGUGGAGGCUAUAUACAGGGGUACUGGUACAGAGUCAAUGUGGAGGCUAUAUACAGGGGUACUGGUACAGAGUCAAUGUGGAGGCUAUAUACAGGGGUACCGGUACAGAGUCAAUGUGGAGGCUAUAUACAGGGGUACUGGUACAGAGUCAAUGUGGAGGCUAUAUACAGGGGUACUGGUACAGAGUCAAUGUGGAGGCUAUAUACAGGGGGUACCGGUACAGAGUCAAUGUGGAGGCUAUAUACAGGGGGUACCGGUACAGAGUCAAUGUGGAGGCUAUAUACAGGGGGUACCGGUACAGAGUCAAUGUGGAGGCUAUAUACAGUGG